UACGAAGGGGGCUAGCGUUGUUCGGAAUUACUGGGCGUAAAGCGCACGUAGGCGGAUAUUUAAGUCAGGGGUGAAAUCCCAGAGCUCAACUCUGGAACUGCCUUUGAUACUGGCAAGCUCGAGUCCGGAAGAGGUAAGUGGAACUCCUAGUGUAGAGGUGGAAUUCGUAGAUAUUAGGAAGAACACCAGUGGCGAAGGCGGCUUACUGGUCCGGAACUGACGCUGAGGUGCGAAAGCCAGGGGAGCGAACGGA
rnacentral:rRNA from 1 species